UUCGCAAUGCCCGAAAGGGUGACGAAGCGACGCCGCGUGGGUGAGGAAGGCCUUCGGGUUGUAAAGCCCUGUCAGGAGUUAAGAAAUGUAAGUGCGCUAAUAUCGCAUUUAUUUGACGAAGGCUCCAAAGGAAGUCACGGCUAACUCUGUGCCAGCAGCCGCGGUAAUACAGAGGUGGCAAGCGUUGUUCGGAAUUAUUGGGCGUAAAGAGCACGUAGGUGGAUUUGCAAGUCAGAUGUGAAAGCCUUCUGUUCAACGGAAGAAUUGCAUCUGAAACUGCGAGUCUUGAGUGUAGGAGGGGAGAAUGGAACUUCUGGUGGAGCGGUGAAAUGCGUAGAUAUCAGAAGGAACGCCGGCGGCGAAAGCGAUUCUCUGGCCUAUUACUGACACUCAGUGUGCGAAAGCUAGGGGAGCAAACGGGAUUAGAUACCCCGGUAGUCCUAGCCGUAAACGAUGGGCACUAAGUAGAGGGGUUUU
rnacentral:rRNA from 1 species